rnacentral:tRNA from 1 species
GACGCUUUGGCCGAGUGGUUAAGGCGUGUGCCUGCUAAGUACAUGGGGUUUCGCCGCGAGAUUUCGAAUCUCUCAGGCGUAGAUUCUUUUUUAAUAUUUUGUAUUUCAAUGUUUCUCAGUGAAUACAUAAAGUAUUUUGAUUUCUUAUGCUUUUAACGGAUCUCUCUGUUUUUUUUUUAGUAUUUGGGGUUUAUAAGGCACAUGUAUAUUGAAUUCGAAUGCGCGUUAACUUUUACUUCUACACGAAAAUGCUAGCACUUUCGUUCAAAGUUAAUGCGUUGUAUACGUAAUGUCGCCAUCCAGAUUGCCUUAGGCAUGUACGCGGUUACUGUUCGUAUGGUUUUCUCCUUUUAAUGUUAAUAUUUAAAACACAAUAGACAGUAAGAACAAAGGUUACCAACACAAAGUAAAUUAAUAUAUGGACUAUUUAUAGAUGUCAACAAAGACGCUUUGGCCGAGUGGUUAAGGCGUGUGCCUGCUAAGUACAUGGGGUUUCCCCGCGAGAGUUCGAAUCUCUCAGGCGUCG